rnacentral:misc_RNA from 1 species
UUGAUUCAUUCUGUAAUGAUUCCACUCAGACAUGCCAAAAGGUAUAAAAAUACAGGAGUUUGGGUCCCCCGGCGGGCGCCUGGUUCCGGGUCCCAGCACGCCCCCCGCCCCCUAGCCGGGGGAGGGGAGGUCGGGUGCCCGGGGCGAAAAGACCCGCCGAAGCAACGGUGUAGUGGUAUAGGUUCACAGGGGGUUUGGGAGUUGUAAGCUCGGUAAUGAUCCCUCCGCUGGUUCACCAACGGAGA